CAAUAGCGUAUACUAAAGUUGUUGCGAUUAAAAAGCUCGUAGUUGGAUCUCAGGCAUGGGCGCACGGUCCGCCUCGCGGCGGUCACUGUGUGUUUUGUUUCCCAUCCUACGCUUCCCGGUUAUCAGCCCAUGGUGCUCUUCACUGAGCGCUUUGGGUGGCCGGAACGUUUACUUUGAAGAAAUUAGAGUGUUCAAAGCAGGCACGUCGCCUGAAUAAUGGUGCAUGGAAUAAUGGAAUAGGACCUCGGUUCUAUUUUGCUGGUUUUCGGAACACGAGGUAAUGAUUAAGAGGGACAGACGGGGGCAUCCGUAUUGCGGUGUUAGAGGUGAAAUUCUUGGAUCAUCGCAAGACGAACAACUGCGAAAGCAUUUGCCAAGCAUGUUUUCAUUAG
rnacentral:rRNA from 1 species